rnacentral:rRNA from 1 species
CGGAGGGUGCAAGCGUUGCUCGGAAUCACUGGGCGUAAAGGGUGCGUAGGCGGUCUCGCAAGUCUGGCGUGAAAGCCCAAGGCUCAGCCUUGGAAGUGCGCUCGAAACUGCGAGGCUGGAGUGCCGGAGGGGAGAGUGGAAUUCCCCGGUGUAGCGGUGAAAUGCGUAGAGAUCGGGAGGAAUACCGGUGGCGAAAGCGACUCUCUGGACGGCAACUGACGCUGAGGCACGAAAGCGUGGGGAGCAAACAGGAUUAGAUACCCUGGUAGUCCACGCCGUAAACGAUGGACACUAGGUGUCGGGGGUAUCCACUCCCUCGGUGCCGCCGCUAACGCAGUAAGUGUCCCGCCUGGGAAGUACGGUCGCAAGAUUA